GACGAACGCUGGCGGCGUGCUUAACACAUGCAAGUCGAACGGAAAGGCCCUGCUUUUGUGGGGUGCUCGAGUGGCGAACGGGUGAGUAACACGUGAGUAACCUGCCCUUGACUUUGGGAUAACUUCAGGAAACUGGGGCUAAUACCGGAUAGGAGCUCCUGCUGCAUGGUGGGGGUUGGAAAGUUUCGGCGGUUGGGGAUGGACUCGCGGCUUAUCAGCUUGUUGGUGGGGUAGUGGCUUACCAAGGCUUUGACGGGUAGCCGGCCUGAGAGGGUGACCGGCCACAUGGGGACUGCGGUACGGGCCAGACUCCUACGGGAGGCAGCAGUGGGGAAUAUUGCACAAUGGGCGGAAGCCUGAUGCAGCAACGCCGCGUGCGGGAUGACGGCCUUCGGGUUGUAAACCGCUUUCGCCUGUGACGAAGCGUGAGUGACGGUAAUGGGUAAAGAAGCACCGGCUAACUACGUG
rnacentral:rRNA from 1 species